UGAGGAAUAUUGGUCAAUGGGCGCUAGCCUGAACCAGCCAAGUAGCGUGAAGGAUGAAGGCUCUAUGGGUCGUAAACUUCUUUUAUAUAAGAAUAAAGUGCAGUAUGUAUACUGUUUUGUAUGUAUUAUAUGAAUAAGGAUCGGCUAACUCCGUGCCAGCAGCCGCGGUAAUACGGAGGAUCCGAGCGUUAUCCGGAUUUAUUGGGUUUAAAGGGAGCGUAGGUGGACUGGUAAGUCAGUUGUGAAAGUUUGCGGCUCAACCGUAAAAUUGCAGUUGAUACUGUCAGUCUUGAGUACAGUAGAGGUGGGCGGAAUUCGUGGUGUAGCGGUGAAAUGCUUGGCUAUCACGAAGAACUCCGAUUGCGAAGGCAGCUCACUGGACUGCAACUGACACUGAUGCUCGAAAGUGUGGGUAUCAAACAGG
rnacentral:rRNA from 1 species